rnacentral:lncRNA from 1 species
UGACCCCGCCCAUUGACCUUCCCAGCGGGGGCGUGGCUAGCCCUCUGCGUCAUGCGAUCUCUCGGAGGCCAGAGACUCGCUCAAGAUGGCGGAGUGAGGAGGAAGUGAGAGGCCUCGCUGGGCCCCGGGAUCCCAGGGGCCCCAGUGUGCGCGAGCAGGGAACCCUCACCGGGAGCCGAGUUAUCCUCAUUGGAUUUAUCUGUAAUGCUGGGCAGAGAUGGUAAGGGAUUGGAAUGGAAUGGGACUAUAAGGGGCGCUGUGUGCCAGACCGAGGGGGAAUAAUAAUAAUAACAUAGCUUCUAGAAUCCCAUGUUACUAUAAUAUUAAUAAUAACAUAGCUUCUACAAUUCCAUGUUAAUAUAAUAAUAACAUAACUUCUAGAAUUCCAUGUUAAUAUAAUAAUAAUAACAACAUAACUUCUAGAAUUCCAUCUUAAUAUAAUAAUAAUAACAUAACUUCUAGAAUUCCAUGUUAAUAUAAUAAUAACAGAGCUUCUAGAAUUCCAUGUUACUAUAAUAAUAAUCACAUAGCUUAUAGAAUUCCAUGUUAAUACAUUAUUAUUAAUAAUAACAGCUUCUAGAAUUCCAUGUUAAUAUGAUAUUAAUAAUUACAUAGCUUCUAGAAUUCAAUGUUAAUACAAUAUUAUUAUUAAUAACAUAGCUUAUAGAAUUCCAUGUUAAUAUAAUAUUAAUAAUAACAUAGCUUCUAGAACUCCAUUUUAAUACAAUAUUAAUAAUAACAUAGCUUAUAGAAUUCCAUGUUAAUACAAUAUUAUUAAUACAAUCAUAUAAUUCAUGUUAAAUACAUUAUUAUUAAUAAUAAAAUCAUAGAAUUCCAUACAAAUACAGCCAUGCACAUAGGGUGACAUUUAUUACAGACAGGACUUGGGGGGGAGAUAUUAUUAUUAAUAAUACAAUAAUGUCUAGAAUUCCAUGUAAAUACAGCCAUGCACAUGAUAUGUCUUAUUACAGACAGGACACGGGGGAUUAUUAUUAUUAUUAUUAUUAUUAUUAUUAAUACAAAAAUUCAUAGAAUUCCAUGUAAAUAAAGCCAUGCAUUUGGUGACGCAUCUGCUUACAAUUAAACUGAUAUAUGACAGCAAACAACUGAAUUACUGGAUAACAUUAAUAUAUUGCAUUCUAAACUCAAUAUUAUAUGUUCGGGAUAAAUGCUCGAUACUAAGUGUCUAUUGAAUGCUGUUUAUAAUACUAGCAGUCAAGUAUGAUAAAGAUUAUUUAAAGAUUACAAUGUUUACUUGUAGGAUACAGUUAUUGACUGUUGGCUUUCAUUAUAACAGUAAUGGUCAUUUUUGUUUUGUGUAUGUGCUCCAAAUGUUUUCUUUUAAAUUUGCCAGAUCAUUAUGUGGGAUGUAUGUCAGAAAUAUCUGGGGUGCAAAGGUACCUAUUAUUGCAGUAUUUCAUCCUGUAAUAUAAGACUGCUCAAUUUAGGUCUGUGGGUUGUUAUGGUGAAGCCCCCAUCAUCUCCCUCAUUUGAUGUCAGUGUCUACUCAGAUUAAUUUAAGUAGUUGUAAGACCAUGGCAUCAGCACUAUACGCUUGUUAUUGAAUGAUAGCAAAUGAAGUGGUCACACAUGUGAAACGUGUGUUAAAAUGUGGUGUACACAGACAAUGUGAUUGUAGUUAGAAAAAUAUUUGCGCUUAUUAGAUAACUGCGUGUUUUUUGACCUGAAUAACAAUGCACAGAGCUAUUACGGUGAAGUGUUUAUAUACAGAUUAUUGCAGAGUUGACCCUGUUGUGUGUAAGAAGACAUGCUUACCCUUAUUGUGAUGGAUCUUAAAUCAAAAUACACAGCAGUGAUCAAAUGUACACACACUCUAUUUAGAGUUUUGUUUGCUGGAAUUUUUCUAUUUUUUUUUUACCGUAGUAUUGGACCUUUUAAUUGUCUAUUAAGCAGCCUGUAACAUAAUUUACAUCCAGUAAACAUAAUUUGUGAUCACUAAUUUUAUCAUGUUGUUUAUGUAAUGUCACCAGCACCAGGUAUGAUUUAGGGAAAAGAGAGAGAGAGAUGAUUUUGCUUGAGCCUGACUUCAUGAUUUUUAGCUAGACACAUGAGAAAUGUAGUGUUUUAUUUGACGUCUGUUGCUUUGUGUUCUCCUCUUGGUUGAUGAUCUUAGGGAGCUAAAGGUAUUUUCCAAACACAGUAAGCCUCCUUUGAUCAUUUAUGGUACGCGAGCCAAUGUACCGUGCCCUGUCUUCCAUUCUCUGCGUUGGUUAUAAUUGCAGCUUUUGCUGGCAUUUCUGAUGUUAUACUGUAAGUCCGUUCCCACGCAGAUAUGUCACAAGGAGAAAGUAAGCUCUUUGGCCUUAAAUGUAUCACACAUGUCCCCUUAUCAUAAAGUAGGGUCUUGCAUGCCAUUGGACGAGAGAGCAUUUGUUGCCGUCAUGUUCAUCAGUGUAGCUAUUGAUAAGAUAAAAAAAAAAAUGUUUAUCACCCAGCAGGUUUCAUUCAUUGAUAAAAUUGCUGCACAGCGCUGCUGUACGUAUUAUAUGAACCCCUGUAUUCUAAAGCAUCCUAGGGGCUGCUUACUGCUCCCAUUGAAGAUAAUGGGAGUGUGCAAUAGGCUGCAUGUUUCUGCUAAUUUUUUAGUGGGAGGGGAGUUUGCUGCAGAAGACACACAUCCAGUGGAUUUUCAGCAGAGGAACUUCGAACGUGUGAGUAUCUUUUUAUUUGUAAGUAUCUCCGGCUUGAAAUGCAUUUGAUGUUUUGUAACAUUGCAUUAGAGAUUAUAUGUGUAAUCUAUUUAGCUUGCUUUCUCACUGAAAUGGUUUCCGUGAACUUUGACCCAUCCAGUAAUAUUGAAUUAAAGAAACGAAUAUACUCAAUCUGUUAGUCGUUUCUAAUGAGCUGCUGAGAUUCUGAGGGCAUUUAAAACCAGAAUGUGUUUAUAAUGCUUCAUUAAACAUAAUGGAAGGCAUAGUGAUACAGUAAGUGAGUUAAACAUUUACUCUAUGAAAUGCAAAACUCAUUGACCUCUCUUGCACUCGGGCUUUGGAAAUGUGGCUUUCGAUGUGUCCAUUGAAACCUCGUCAAUGUUCUGCUAUCCUUCAUAAACCAGAACGAUUGAACUCUUUCCAAACUGAUAAUACUUUGGCACAAAUGCAGUGGAAAGCUUCCCAGUCACAAUGACAGCCUUUUUGUUGUUGUUAUGAUAUAAUGAUGUACCAAAACCUAUACUGUGAAAAUAAACACUUGCAGGUUUUAUUUCUAGUUUUGCAAAUAUGCUUCAGAGUUUCUCUUCUCCUACAGCUCUAACGGAUAAGGAUCACCCCCACACUCCCUGCUUGAGGAAAAAAGACCAGCACGCCACCAUGUCUACAGCAAUGAUCGCAGAGCUCCCGCGUGCUUCUGUCACUGACAUUGAUUGAUCCUGCAGAUGUCUGCUGCAGCGUUUUCUGAAGGUCAAGGGAAGAUCACAGGGUUCCAAGGCCCACACACAUCGCUGGUGAGCAAAUUAGAUUUAGCACCUGCAAAAAAUAACAAUGUCUACUGUAAGAAUGCCUCUGUACCUGUGCUGACAACAUUGCAUUGAGCUGUAUCUAAGGGCUCCGUGCUGGGGCUUUGAUGCGGCUUUUGUAUUGUUAAUACAGGAGCUAGAGUUAUAAUUAGAAACUCGUGUGUGCAAAGAAUCUUAAAACUAGUAACAGUUUUAAGUUGAUCAGCACUGCAUUUGUUCUACAAAUAACACUGUUUGCUAUGUGCGAUUGUAUAAUUUAACAGGAGGCGUAUUAUUUGUUUCAUUUAGCAGAUUUAUUUUUUAUCUUCAGCGUGCUCUUUUUUGACAUCAAGAAAUGGAGACUGACAAAUUAAGGGAAUAUACUGUAAAAUGGUUUCCUUUCUGUUAUAAACGGGGGGGUUUUUUUGUCCGCAUUAAGACUUUUAAUAUGCGAAAGUAAAUCUUUCACAAAUGUCAGGCUUUUACGCAUUGUUAUGGAGAGAUUAAAAAAAAAAUUUUUUUCUUCCCAUUUUCAUUUUGAUGGUUGCUUGCGUUUUAAGUAGGCCAGGAUGGGUUUAAAACCCACUGGGGAGUAAUCCAAAUCUGCUAUUGCAAUAAUCUGAGCAUUUGAAGGGAACAUAUGCUUUCUCCGCACAGGAAGUAAAAUUUAUUCUCAUACCAACUAACAUCUCAAGACAAUUAGGAAGAAAAAUCAAAAGGGUUUUUUGUUGUUGUUUUUUCUCCGUCAUUAUUUGCAAGGGAGGAAAGAUUCUGUGCAGCCUUUCUCCAGUGAGCCAGGCAGUCUAUUAGACUGUAAUGAAACAGCUCAACUCCCAGGUAAUCCAUCAUGCUAGCACAAAGCUUGUCUACUGCUGCCCACUGCAGAGGUUCAUGCUGGUAAUGCAGAUAUAAAUUGUGCGCUUUUUUAUCUUCCUUUCCAUGACCAUCUUUUUUUGCAGCACAAACAAACGGGGGCACAGAUAGGUGAAUGAAAGACCUCUUUCCUGCUAAUUGUCAUUUUACUGCAACAAAGCUUUGUAUCUUUAGUUAAAAACACUUUAGCUUCUUGAGGUCAGAUGACAUGUCACGCUAUAAAAGGGUUUACGGGAUUAAUGUGUGGGCAUUUGUAGAAAGCAGUGAUCGAAACAAUGCGGAUGUAACAGUUACUCUGCACCGAAAAAAUAUAUAUGGCCGGGGAUAAUGAACAAAGUCAUUUGAUGGGAAUUAAUGGAAGUGUGUACUAGAAAUAGAAGACCCAACCAGAUAACAUAAUGUAGGGGAAAAAAAGAAGGGAGAGAAUAAAAUGUGUAGGUGCCUAUAGUGUCCCUUUAAGUAAUUGGUAGCGGAUGAGGAUAUAGAUUGUUAGAAGCUACACUCACAUAUUAUCACACACACAAAUAUAACAAACCAUUGAUACGCCUCAAUGCCACUCACACACCUGUAUGUAUAGCUACCAAUUUACAUACAUACACAAAGGCACACAUGCAAUAUCGUUAUUAUUCUUUCUCACUGUCUGAGCUUCUAAAAUGUAUUAGACAUUUUUUCUCUCCUGUUAUAAACAUACAGGACAAGCUGUACACAAGGGCUGUAAUGGAACACACAUUUAUAAAUACAUUAGCAUAUAUUAGGCUUGUAAAACAACCAUCUGUGCAUGCAAGUGUAACAUAAUAAAAAUGUUAACACAAACUAUGGCAGCGUGUGAAUAUAGAGGGGUGUGUGUGUGUAUAUAUAUAUAUCUGUGGAGGAUCAGUGUGGGGGUGCUUAGAAGGGGGUGUAUUUGUGUUGAAUCAGUGUUGCUGUAAAUAAAGAGGUGUGUGCGGUGGGUUAGUCUGGGUGUGCGUUUAGGGAUGUGUUUUUGUGCUGAACGUUAGUGUGGUUGGUCUAUGUAGGUGAGUGUAGUGAUAUGAAUGUAGAGAGUGUAUUAGCGUAGAGUUGCACUGUUGCUGCAUUUCCUCUGUAACUAGUCCUCUUUCGUCUUCCAUAUUGCUUGUCCACUUUCUGGUACUCAAUUGACCAAAAGCUGAGAUUGUGAGAUUAGUGAGCAUUAGUGAAGUUGUUUUGGCUAGUGCUUAAUCCAAACACACAGCACGUUGUUUACCCUAUUCCCUUAUUUUUUUUAUUUAUGGAAUCCCCUCUUUUUGAUAGCCUGAAAGUCUCUCUCCGAGUGCAUUAAGCUGUGCUCCAAUCAGGCGUACAUAGUUAUCAGACCUUACAGCAGUGAGAGACAACCCUCUGUGUGGGUGCAUGGAUGACCUCUGAUAGGAGCCUCCAGCUUGUUUCUCACACACUGUUGGAAGUACCAUAUAGUGACUGUUUUAUUUAAAAUUACUGCUGUUCCUUUUUGAGCAAUGUUUGCACAGCUUGCUUUCCAACCCUGGCCAGCUCACCAGGGCAGAAUUUCCGCUUGUAAAUAGCCAGUGUGAAGGGAAAUGGAAUACCUUAACUCUUAAAUUAGUUCAUAGCAGUGCACAGAUGUAUGGUUAUAUGCACAACUCUUCCACAGAAAAUAUAUGGCGGUGGGAAGAAUAGCAUUGGUUUAAAGGUUAGCUACAUCCUGGUCAAUGGACACUUACUGUAGAAGCCACUGAUUCUGGAGCAUUGCAGAAAAUCAAAGUAUCUUUAUUACUGUUGUAGUAACACUUGAACAGGCACUGAGAAAUAAAAUGCUAAAAUUGCUUGUCAGGCCCUGCCCACCCUAAAUAUAGUAAAAUAUUACCUUCAUUGCAGCGUGCUGGUGCUGGCUCUGCCCGAUUUCUCUCCUUGGCUGAAAUCAUCUGAAGUUAUGAUCUGAGUUAAUCACUAUGUUUUACCAUAGGUAAGCAUUGAAUUGGCUGAGACUGUGAAGGAGGCAGAUUAGGGGCAGAGCCAGCACAAGCCAAACACAGCCCUGGCCAAUCAGCAUCUUAUUAUUAAUAAUAUUGCCAUUUAUAUAGCGCCAACAGAUGCUGUCGCGCUUUACAAUAUUAUGAGAGGGGGGAAUUUAACUAUAAAUAGGACAAUUACAAGAAAACUUUCAGGAACGAUAGGUUGAAGAGGACCCUGCUCAAACGAGCUUACAGUCUAUACAGAGAUGAAUUGAAUCAAUGCAGCUCUAUGAGGACAGUGUCUGCAUACAGAGGGUGGAGGCACUGAAUGGAAGUACUGCUCACUACGCAGCACUGCCCCAGGAAGCACCUCUAGUAGCCAUCUGAGGAGUGGCCGGUGGAGUUAUCUCUAGGCUGUAAUGUAAACACUGCAUUUUCUCUAAAAAAAAACCAAAAAAAAAACCUGUGUUUACUGCAAAAAGCUUAAAGGGAAUGAUUAUACUCACCAGCACAAAUACAAUAAGCUGUAGUUGUUCUCCUAACUACAUUGUCCUUUUUACUGUUUUACAACAGUAGAAAUCCAUGUCUUAAAUUGUUAAUAUUAUCAGGAAGUAUUACUUUACAGAGAGAGUAGUGGAUGCAUGGAAUAGCCUUCCAGCUGAAGUGGUAGAGGUUAACACCGUAAAGGAGUUUAAGCAUGUGUGGGAUAGGCAUAAGGCUACCCUAGCUAUAAGAUAAGGCCAGGGACUAAUGAAAGUAUUUUAGAAAAUUUUGGCAGACUAGAUGGUCCAAACGGUUCUUAUCUGCCCUCACAUUCUAUGUUUAAAUCCUCCGCACUUCAUACUGACUGAAUUAUAAAACAUCAGUUGUAAAUGAAUCCUUUCUCAGAUAUAGUAAUGGCAUUUAUCGUGUUCUUUUUCAUCUCUCUAGGGCUGACAGGCGUUGGGACACAAUGAAGCUACAGGUUGAUCCCUCAAUGGAGAAUUUUACCUCAUGCAUGUCUCGUGGACUCCAUUCACCAUUUAUUGUAGGGUAUCAACCGACAUCUGUCCUCUCCAAAUCGAAAAGUGGAGCUUUUCUGCUGAAAUGCUCAGCAGUUUCCUGCAGUUUCUUGGGUCUUGACUUGAGAAUUCCACUUGGGAAACGCCGAUUCCACGAACAUCACAAAUAUAGUACUGUGAGUUAGUUAAUUGGUCUUAGAACAACCCUGAAUUAUCCUGGCCCUGCUCUGGUUUUUUUGGUGACGUAUCACAUUUAAUGUCUGAAAACAGAGUUCACACUUUCUAAAUCCCCUGAUCAUUUUUGAAUGUAAGACGUAUGGAAGAAGAGAGCAUUUAUAACACUUACAGCAGGCAGCGUUUAUUCAGCACAUUUAAAGCACUUAAGUAAUGCUCGUGAAAUGUAUUUACCCACAAAAUGAUUAAUGUGCAAAUGUAUUCUACAUACCACGGAAGCUGCGCAUUUAUCAGGACCAGGAUUAAAUCCAACAGCAUAUCUUAUUUAUACAUUUGUCGUUUAUUUUUCUAAGGUUACAUUUCCUAUUUUGCCCAGUAGAUUUGGAGUUCUUAAUUCUUCAGUAAUAACGGCAAGACUUAUACUUGUUUGUAGACUCCCUCGUGGUAUUAUUAUCAAUGCCUGCUGCAGCUUGAAUUAUUUUUUUUUCUUUAUUCUUCUAAAUAUUUCCAAAGCAAAAAAAUAAAUCCUACUUAAACUCUGAUAUAGAGUAAAAUGCUAAAAUUGGAAUUCUUAUAACAAUGAGGAACGGAAGAUCUUAUCGCAGGACUUAUCUACUGUUUCUUCCAUCUGGAAAGAACUGCACCAAUAAAACGAAACCAUUUUAAGUAGGUCUCCUUUAAAAUAGCAUGCUUCCUCCGUAUCUUAAACAUCCUUAUAGUGUAGAUAUUAAUCCUCACACCCUUUUCUAAAGUGGGUGAUAUCAUCUACUAAUUAUCAAUCUUGUAUUUUGAUAGCUACCGUUUUAUUUCCCUUCCAUAAAAAGGUGAGAUUUUAGCAGCUUAUGAUCAAAAUUUUCUUCUGAUCAAAAUCUUUAUCAGGUAGGCAAAUCCACAAUAUUUCCAGGGGAAUAUUUGGACUGUAAUCGUUUUCUGAUUUUCUUCAGGUGUGGGUAACAUCUAAUUUUCAUGGCUAGUCAAGUUCUGAACCUUCUUAAAUAUUAAGACGUUUUUGUUGUGCAGCUCAGGAAAAACAAUUGCUGCGAACAUUCGUUAUUUGGAAUGGUAAAUUAACUUUUGGAUUGGCAUAAAACAUUGCUGUAUUAUGUUUAUAUAACUUCUUAGGCCAAAAUAGGAAAUUAUCUGGGAAAAAGGAACUUUGGGAGAGGUUCUGUGAGGAACAAACCAGGAUCUGAGCUCUUGCUUUCACUGACAUAGGAACCCAAGAUCUAUGAUCUUCUAACUAAAGUACUUGGUGGAGACCAUUUUUUGCUUCAGUCGUCCAUAAACAAAAGAUUUUCAGGAACAAUAUUCAAUAUACAAUGAAUUUUUUGUCUGAAAGUCAGUUCCUUGGUCCUUUACCUAAGUAAAUACUAUUGAAGUGUUUACUGGGAUGAAGAGUGCAGCAAAACUUAAGUAUAGACCAUACUCUCACCCAUAGCACUUUCACGUGUGGGCUGUUACCCAUGACUCUCGGGUUCACUCAGACGUCUGUUUGUUACGUGCCAUACAAGCACGUGCACACUUGGCCAUUCUUUCCAUAGUGCUGUGUGGGCACAUGUGCCCUAACGCACCCAGACACACAACACCGUGGACGAUUAAAAAAAAAAAAACUGGCAUUGUAUUCUGUGGAAUAAAACUAAAGUUUUAAUUGAAAAAAUAAAUAAAAUGCUGGUUGUUUUGAAAAAUGUACAACCAAGUUUCGGUUGUACCAAUAUUAAAGUGAUAGUGCCACUUUUAACCCCUUAAGAACCAAACAUCUGGAAUAAAAGGGAAUCAUGACCUGUCACACAUGUCAUGUGUCCUAAAGGGGUUAAACUAGACAUGUUGUUUGCACUCCAAAUGCCUAAGAUUGAAACUCUGCAAGUUUAGAUUAAGUUGAAAACUAUCAAUUUUGCGAGGUGACAGAUGAUUAUUUACAACUCCCAGUCUAUCCCUUUUAGAAUUUCUGAGAAUUAUGGUGUGGUGCUCAUCACAAACUAAUCACCCCAUCUCUGUGCACUGUUUGAUGUGUUUGUUUAAUCUCAACUUGCAGCUCUAAAACUUUAUUUGGAGAUUGAAGAAAAAAAACACCAUGUAAAAUACAUUUAAAAAACUGUUUUAGUAAGUCAUACAAAUUCACUCAAUGUACAGGAUGUGUGUAAUUUAAUGCACUAACCAAAGCAUUAAAUUACUCCCACCCUCCCCCCUUCUGUUUUGUAGAAUUAUAUAUUUUUACUCUCUGCCCUCUAUGGCUAUAUGUUGCUUUUAACCCUUUAUAUAUUUUUUUUCCUUCCAUUUAGAGGUUUGAUGUAAUUAUGGGAAAUGUGCAAUAUUGACGUACAUAUGUAUAUUUUACUACUUGUGGACAAAAUGAUGUUACAAGUUGUCUGAGAACAACAAAAUCACAUAUGUCUUCCAUUUUUGAGAUGUGUAUAGUUCCAUACAAGCAUUUAGUGCUAUGUAGCAAACUGUAGAACCACUUUAGGAUCUGUGCAUGCAUUUAAGAGUUGUUUAUUUUAUUUUAUUUUUCAUGGUUAGUGACGAAACACACGAUCUGUGUAAAGAUCAUGACUAUACCUACUAACCUUUUUUUUUAAAAAGGUGCAGUAUUGCUUUACCUUUUGCAUCUGAGCGUACCCAAAAACUUUGUUCCCUUAAAACUACUGUACAAAGAAAUAUCUUUGUAACUUUUUUUUCUUUCUCAUCUUAAUGGGGGGGAAAAAUGUUGCUGUUGUGGAAUUGUCAGAUAUUUUAACAAGGAGCAGCUACAAAAUGGCAGUCAGUCGUUACUGAUCAUACCCCCGUGUCUCACUAUCUCUAUACCUCCUUGGUCUGAGUUGGUGUUUUGAACUGUUUGUGUAGGUCUAGGACGCUGAGCGGUGAGUUAUAAAGUUAAGGCUAUUUUUCUAUGAAAGUGAUUUUAGCAAAAAAAAAUUCUACGUUUGGUUUUAAUAAUAAGCCCCAUUUAUAGGUUCGCAUUGGGGAGAGUAAUACAUUUGCCUAAAGUUUUCUCCUUGACACUUUAAUUUUCCUAAAUCUGGCGAGGCGUAGCUCCUAGAAACAGUUUGUACUUUCACAUAUCUGCAAGAUCACAAAAGGGUGUACUUUUGAGCAAUCCUGCAAGACUCCCUUGUAGACCUUCUUGCAUAGCGGCAUAUAAAGUUUAUUAUAUAAAACCACUGAGCAUUGCUUAGGAAGAUGCCUAUUCAUGUUAGCCAUUUCAUGGUACUGUACAGGUAACUUAAAGCUCUGCCUUUGCCAUAAGAUAAAGUAUUUCAUAUUUUGUAAUCUGUCGUUUUGAUUGCGUUAGGAUUUCAGGAAAAAAUCUCCAACUUAGCUUCUUUUUUUUAAGUUUAAUAUUUGCAUUUCUUGGUCGAUUCUCUAAAAUUCCUAGGUUUUGUGAAUACAUUCUGCAGUAACUGCUGAUUGGCCUUUAGAGGCUGCUGCAAGCAUUUGAAGAAAAAACAAAACUUCGUUAUGAUUACAUAUUAGGUAGGACUAUAUAAUCGAUAAUUAAAUGUCAGGUGGAUGGGAUAUUAGUAGAGUCUUACAGCCUUUCCCAAUGGUUAAAUUCUGUGUUUCUAUCUGGAUUCCACAGCUCUUGCUUGUAUGACUCCAAAUGUAAGGGAAGAAUGCUGCACCUUUUUAUACUAAUAUGCUGUUUGUAAAUGCACUCAUAAUAUGGUGCAAUGUUUAAAUGCAUGCUUGAAUUUUAACACUUUAUAUAUGUAUAUUUGGAAUGCCAGUGCCUAAUCGGCUAUAUAAGUAAUGAACUAAACUUGGUGAGGACUGAGUACUUAAGUUAAGGAACACAACUCCAAAGGAAAAAGCAAUAAGAAUUCAGCUUUGAAGUAGCAGAAGUUUCAAUUUAAAGUUUGUCUGUCUUGUAACCUUUAAAGAUAAACAUGAAAUACCUCUGAAACUAGAAUGCAACAUAGCACAGUGUCAUUCUGGAUGCAAAUAAAGCCAUUAAAUAUUUUAGACCUUUGGUAGCAAUAACCGUAUUGCAUGACUAUAUCUUUAUUAUACAGUAAAAGAAUAGACUGUAGCUAGUUUAUGCAUUUUCUUGUUAGGCUUUAUUAUGGAUGAUUGGGUCUUUGUGUGUGUUUUAAAUAAGGCUGCUUUUAGUGUAAUUAUUAAUAUUGCUGAGCAAAGAAACUUUAAAAUGCUUUUUUUUUUUUUUUUUUUCCUCUAGUAUAUGGGUAUAAUACUGAAGACCACUAGUUCUCCAUAAUUUAGCAAGUAGUGGCACAGACCGCCAAGCUCAUCUGCUUAGUAACAACAUCGAAACUUGUCAGGUUCAGGUAACACAACGAAUAUAAAAAAUCCUAUAGUUCUUCUUAAUGGGCUUGCAUAGCGUUUAAACAAAUUCUUAAAUGAAAACUCCAAGCACCAUAACCAUUAUAGAAUGCUGUAAUGGGACCAGUAAUUCCCUCCCCAUUGAAAGUGAAUACAUUAUUUUGGAAUAAUUUAGAGAAGGCCGCACCAAAAUUUUCAUUUUUGGUAAACGUAAAAUGUUGGUGACUGGAUCAGGAGAUACUUAGCAAAUUUAAAUAUGUAAACAUUACUGUUUUUUUUUUUGUUUGUUUUUUUUUCCUGUUGGGUAUCCUCCAAAGGUGACCCUUGUUGGGUUUUUGAACUGCUAGGAAUCCCCUGCCAGGUUUUUCUUUGGACAGCUUCCAGUUUGCCUGAUCUGUGAGUAAGCUUUUUGUACUCUUGAACACGGUCAGUUAAAAGACCACGGACCACUAAAAUUAUCCAGACCCCAUCAUUUCAAUAAAUUCCGGGUCUAGUGGUCCUGUCAUUUUAACCCUGCACUGACAUAGUAAAAUUGUCACAUUAUAUUGCUGCUCAUAGGAAAACAUUGGGCGUGCAGAGCACUAGCUGUGCAUGUGCAGCAGGAGCCCACUACUCCUCUCUAAAGAGGAUCGGACUAUCGCAGGAAUAAGCUAUGCUUCCUCAACGUUUCGGGACGUGGCGAAGUUAGCAACUCUGAGGGAGUCUCGACGCUGCAAAAAUGCAAUGUUUGAACUCUGUGUAAAGGAGCAGAUAUUGAUUAAAGGCACAGCAUCUGUUAUUUUCUAAAGUACGUAGCCUGGGUCAGCAAGCAUUUUUGCUGACUUGCAGAGAACAAAGGCCACCUAUCUAGCCAUGAGACUCUGUGACCUUCUCCAUUGAUGGAAGAUCUCAUGCUUCCUCUACACUUUAAAGCUUUAAUAUGCUUCAUUCUGGGCUGCUGCUGUGCUUAUCUCAUGACUACAGAAUGGGAUUCUGAGAUUUGUAGUCACAUUUUCAGCUUUCUAAACCAAAGCCAAUAGAGGAGGAAAUGGUUGUCUUGUAUAGAGCAGAACUAAUUUUAUGCCUGCACUUACAUCAUCUGAGCACAGAAUUGUGGGGUGUAAUCUGCAUCGUAUGGCAAUUCUAUUCUAGUCAAAGUUCCCCACAAAACCAGUUCCUUUUUAAAUGAAGGUAGUCUUUAUGAUUACGGAUAUAAUAGACAGUGAACAGAUGAUAUUUCUGCUACAAUGCAAAAAUCUUAAAAUUAACAUACGGUGUGAAUAGCAGCAACAAUAUUUUGCUUGUUGAAAAUAAGUACAAGUCCAAAAUAUAGUAAUGCUGCAUUUCUGUCUUUCAUUUUCAUGAUUUAUGCAGACAUUCCAUCAUCACUUGAGCAUUUCAUCACUGUGAUUUUGGAUGAAUUUGUUUAGUGUUUCUAGCACAUGCCCAUGAGAGCCUUGAAAAAAAAUUAAUAUAAAAAUCCAGUCUCUAAAACAGGAUUUUAAAAAAUUAAUCUACAUUAAAACUACUAUGUACUGGACUUUAUUUAAAGAAGAAAAAAAAAGUAAGAGUGUGUGAGAGGUUUGUGUGUGCCUUUCCAAUUUCUAUCAUAAUGAAAUGUGCUUGGCUCAAUGAUUUUCUAUUCCAAAAGGCUAUUACUGUAAGAAACUCUGGUUUGACACUUUGUAUAUACAGCUAGGUUGGGUUUUGUAAUCUCCUCUAGGUUUAAGCAUGAUUUUAAUGUACAGUAUUAAAGUUCUAAAACAUGCAAAUCACAAUAUUUACUGCAGCACAGUUCAAGCAAUAGACCAUACUAUGAGCUGCUUAAAUCGUUUUUGGAUACGCCUAUGGGACUGUUGUGAUGGUUAGUGACCCUGAUUGUAGGAGCUGCAUUUUAAACUGUUUUGGGAUCCUUCCUUCAACAAAAUAAUUGUGUAUAGUUGGGCCUUGGGAGAUGGCACUGGUCCAUACUUUAUUCUCCCAGAUGAUAUUUAAUACAUGAGGCAGGAUUGGAAUGAGCAGAUUAAAGUCAAUAUUUGUGUUCAUCUCUCUGUGGUCUAGUCCUCCCUAUUGUUUUCCAGUGAAAGCUCUCUGUAUAUCCCAUAAAACCUCUGCCCAGUAAGGCCUGAUGGGAUUUGUAGUUCAGCAGUUGGAUGUCAAUUUCAUGUUUUGUUCCCAAUAAAAUCUUUCAUUUUAAUUAGUGAACCCACAGGCCACCCUAUUCAUGGCUAAUGCACAGGAAACGCAUAUGUUUCGCUCGACCGGCUCUGUUUGUCUGGGUUGCAGGGUAAUUUGUCAGCCAGGCAGGGUAGACAAAGCCGAGAUACAUAUGGAUUUUCUUUUCUGCUAGUACAGUGAUGUGUGCAUAGAAUUUAUUAUUCUAGGCCAUCAUCACUAACAGAGAAGGAAAAGGGGGGGAGAGAAAUAUUACAAUACAUGAUACACGUGCAGAAAUUAGGUAAUACAAGCUAAACAUUGCCUAUUGUGAGCUUUCUUUUCUUUACCCCUUCACAAAGUUCCCAAGGUGCUGAUGAAUUUCUUUGAGUUUCAGAUGUCAAUCCAUGUUCUAUGCAGACAGACCUGUUCUCUGUCCAGACAAGUAUAGCUCGCAUCCGUGAGAUGCCCAAUACCCAUUUCAGGCUUUGCCUGUAUGAACUGCAGGUUACUGCAAAUAAAUGCAUAAUUAAGAUGCAUUAAGAACACUGAGACCCCGUCAAACAAAUGUUAAAAAAAAAAAAAAAAAAUAUGAAAUGUUUUCUCACCCAUGAGAGUAAAAUUACAGCCUACGCCUGGCCAAAUACAGCUUAUAUUUUUGUAUUAUGGUGUUCUGGAAUACACUGAAAUAGUGGAAGUGUGUUUACAUCCUAAAACGUAUAUAAGAUGCCCACUAUACCUCAUGCAGAAUUUGCGCAGUGCGUAAUGUUAUAGCUGUACCAACUUUGAGCGAGAGAUCGUGCUUGUAUAAUACAAAACUGAACGCACAAAUAAUCCUACUUCAACUAUUAGCAAUAAAAUAUUAAAAUUGCAGCUGGACAUCUAGUGUUUGUCUUGAGCUAGGUAAUCCUGACACCACUGUAGAAACAAAGAAAAAGGUUUGUUUUUGGAUAUUGCCCCACCAUUCCGUGGGUGGUGGCUACUUUGUAAGCAAGACUUAAUGACUUUGAAAACUAUGUAAAGAUAUAAUGCAUGAAGGAUUUGUUAUGUAAACUUAAAAAUAUAUAUAUAUCCAUAUAUAAAUAUGCAUGCGUGUUUGCCUGCAGAGCUGACCUUUCAUUUGCCAUCAAUGAAACCUAUUUUAUGUCUGCUGUCAUUGGAUAAUGUACAGAUCACAACAAUUCUACACAUUUAGUAUUCUGUUUCACCAAUAUAAACAUUUAACUAUCCAUCAAUAUGCUCCUUGUGAUUUAAGUCAUGUUGUUCCUACUAUACAGUUACUUUUAUGUUGAACUUUUCAUAAUAAUGCAUGCUGGGCAAACUGGUACAAUAUAACACUGUGUGCUCAAUUUAGUGGGCAAAAUGAUGAAACCUCACUACAAUCAUGCUGACUGAUAUAUUUUACCCUAGGGGCUAAUUUUUGUAUAUAUUCUCACCCUUCAUUCUAUCCUUAGUUGGUCUGGUUCACAUGCCAGUCUGUAUUGAGAGGUUCUGAUCCAAGAGUAGCCAAGGUAGCUAUCAGCCAAUUCUCAUGAUGCUUUGCCAGCCUUGAAGGACCACUAUAGUGCCCUGAGGGUGCCCCAAUCCCGCCAGGCUGAAGGGGCAGGAAGUGGGGUUAAACACUCACCUUUCUCCAGCACCGAGCUCCAUUGGCGCUGGGGACUCUCCUCCGCCUUCUGAUGUCAUCGGCUGCAUGCGCAGCAAGAGCCGCGCGCGCAUUCUUCCAGUCCAUAGGAAAGCAUUGAGAAUGCUUUCCUAUGAACGCUGGCGUCUUCUCACUGUGAAAAUCACGGUGAGAAGCACGGAAGCGCCUCUAGCAGCUGUCAAUGAGACAGCCACAAGAGGCUGGAUUAACCCAUAGGUAAACAUAGCAGUUUCUCUGAAACUAUGUUUACAGCAAGCAGGGUUAACCCUAGAUGGACCUAGCACCCAGACCACUUCAUUAAGCUACAGUGGUCCUUUAAGGGACUUGUACUUUGGCAGUAGCCAGGGCCUCACCUUUUGGCUACCCUUGUUUUAAUACGUUGUGGUUUAGUUUCAAUGAGCAUUUGGCAGUGGACUUUUCAGACUUGCAUAGACAAUUUUGUAAUGCAAGCGGACUAAAAUUCCUGCUAAUUGGACUCUAAAGGGUGAUUUUGCAAAGAUGUAACACAUAAGUAUAGCAACUCAUGAAAACCUAUUCUAUAGUGUGUAUUUGCACAAGUAUGAAUAACACUCUAUAUGCUAGCAUAGGCAGUUUUCACUCUGCAACAUUUGCAUGUUUAGUAACCCUAACAAGUGUGAAAUUACAUCAGUGAUUGUGGAGGUUCAUUUCCUAAACAAGGAAUUGUGCAGAAUAGGCAAAGGGAACAACAUUUUUACAACACUGUAACUGACAAUUAGCAAUUUCCAUGUCAGUUCUCCACAAUUAAUGGUGUGAUGAAUAAAAAAACAAACCCACACACACUAUCUCUCAAUACUAUAUAGUAAAAGGUGAAAGCCACUGAAUAGGUGGUGAAUACUAUAAUUUGUUAACAUACUGGAAUCCUGAUCAGACAAACAUGAAUACCUAAGAAGAAGCAGUUUAGUGCACUCACUAUAUAUAAAUCACUUCUUUUGGGGCCUCACUGUACUCCAUAAUUUGGCAGCUUGCGUACUAUAUCUAUGCAUAUUUGAUCUGGGUAGUGGAAAAUAAGGAAACCUACCACUAAUGGUUUUGUAGAAUCACUUGUUUUUUUUGUUAAAACCUGUAUGUUGGAAACUUGCAUUUAUGUAAACUUUUUAAAGCAAUAAAGAGGCUGAAAAUGCACUGAACAAUAAAUUACUGUAGUCCGUCUA